CCUACGGGAGGCAGCAGUGGGGAAUAUUGGACAAUGGGGGCAACCCUGAUCCAGCCAUGCCGCGUGUGUGAAGAAGGCCCUCGGGUUGUAAAGCACUUUCAGUGAGGAAGAACGCCUGGUGGUUAAUACCCAUCAGGAAAGACAUCACUCACAGAAGAAGCACCGGCUAACUCCGUGCCAGCAGCCGCGGUAAUACGGAGGGUGCGAGCGUUAAUCGGAAUUACUGGGCGUAAAGCGCGCGUAGGUGGCUUGAUAAGCCGGUUGUGAAAGCCCCGGGCUCAACCUGGGAACGGCAUCCGGAACUGUCAAGCUAGAGUGCAGGAGAGGAAGGUAGAAUUCCCGGUGUAGCGGUGAAAUGCGUAGAGAUCAGGAGGAAUACCAGUGGCGAAGGCGGCCUUCUGGACUGACACUGACACUGAGGUGCGAAAGCGUGGGUAGCAAACAGGAUUAGAUACCCGUGUAGUC
rnacentral:rRNA from 1 species